rnacentral:lncRNA from 1 species
GCGAGCUUCUAAAGUCCAGGUAUUUUUAUUUUUAUUUUUUUCUAUUAUAUAGAAAAGGAAAGAUGGUCGACCACGGACAAAAUUGUUAUUUUGCUCAAAGGAAAAUUGUCAUUUUGCUCAAAGAAAAAAAGUGCCUGUAACAAUGCUAACUCCACCUCUUACGACCUUUUUUCCGGCAUUCCGACCUCCAUAUGGGUCUAGAAACAUCGCUCUUCCGACUUUCAUCUUUUCUAUUCCAACAGAUCGGAUCAGUUCUCCUUCUUCAAACUUUCAAUAAUAUUCUUAGCUCUUUUUAUCUUCUUAUUUAUCUAUUACAUUUCAGGAAUCAUUAUCUCAAUCUCUGCUCCAUCUCUUUCUUUCUUUGUUUCUUUUAGAUCUUUUUAACUAUUUCCAAUUUCAUGGAUAAAUUUCCUUGAAUUUCGUGUUUUCCAACCAGACGAUGCGGAAUCACCAUUUUAAGGGUUAUUAUCUGUCCAAUUUCAUUGUUGUUACCUUCUUCUCGCUUCUUAAGGUAUUGACAUUUAUUAUUCUGCUAACUUAAAAACAAAAGGGAUAUUUAGUUUUACUCCUAAUGCAUGAUGUUCUUCCGUUUCUUUACUUUUUUUUUCUUUUUGUAUAUGUUAUGUUUUCAUGUAUCGUGAAUAGCGAGUAUGUUUCCAGUAAUAACUGCUUCUUCACACACACCCUCAUUCUCCAUAGCCGGGGGAAAAGAAAAAUUGGAACUCGUGAUAACCUAAUUUUGAUAAAGCACUAAAAUUGGUGUAUGAGUUGAGAUUGACAUAAAUUGGAUGAAUUACUAUUGAAAAAAUUUUGUGCAUGUGAAUUUUUAUUGACAGAUAUUAUUCAUUAUUUCAUGUCUUAGGAAGGGUUAACAAGGCUCAAGAUGAUUUGGGAACUCUUCUUAGAAGUUGUGUUCGAGCAACAUCUGUUUGUUUGAAUUUAAAUUCGUUUAUCUAGCUAGGAAUUUAUGGAAUAGGGAAGGUAUGUUAAAGGACCUGUUAUGGGAUUGCUUUAUAUGAUAACUCAUUGUUGUUGGUGGGAUUUGAGAGUAAAGGAAUGGAGGAGUAGGUAAUAGAGUACUUAGGAUUGAUAUAGAUUGUAUGAAGUUGCAACAAUAUCCAACAACUUUGAGAAGCAGACAAGAGGGAUGUAGAUGUAAGGGCAUGUAUACCUUAGCCAAGGAAGUAGCUUAAUUUAUUUAUUUUACUUUUUAUUCCCUGUUAUUUGGCAUUUACUAAUACAAUGUGUAUUCAACAAUAAAUUAUAGUUGUUUGUGUGAGCACCUAAUUUUUGAUCGUGCUUGAAUUUUCG